rnacentral:tRNA from 1 species
AUUUAAGUAGCUCAAAUGGAUAGAGCAACGGCUUAAAACCCGUUGGCGAAGGUUCGAAUCCUUCCUUAAAUA